GGAAGUGUGCCUGAAUGCUCAAGGACCACUUUGAUAGAGUGUACCAUAGGGGUUCAAGUCCCCUCACUUCCU